AUUGAACGCUGGCGGCAUGCUUUACACAUGCAAGUCGAACGGCAGCACGGGGGCAACCCUGGUGGCGAGUGGCGAACGGGUGAGUAAUAUAUCGGAACGUACCCGGAAAUGGGGGAUAACGUAGCGAAAGUUACGCUAAUACCGCAUAUGCCCUAAGGGGGAAAGCGGGGGAUUCGCAAGAACCUCGCGUUUUUCGGAGCGGCCGAUAUCGGAUUAGCUAGUAGGUGAGGUAAAGGCUCACCUAGGCGACGAUCCGUAGCUGGUCUGAGAGGACGACCAGCCACACUGGAACUGAGACACGGUCCAGACUCCUACGGGAGGCAGCAGUGGGGAAUUUUGGGCAAUGGGCGCAAGCCUGAUCCAGCCAUGCCGCGUGAGUGAAGAAGGCCUUCGGGUUGUAAAG
rnacentral:rRNA from 1 species